rnacentral:rRNA from 1 species
AGCGAACGCUGGCGGCAGGCUUAACACAUGCAAGUCGAGCGGGCGUAGCAAUACGUCAGCGGCAGACGGGUGAGUAACGCGUGGGAACAUACCUUUUGGUUCGGAGCAACACAGGGAAACUUGUGCUAAUACCGGAUAAGCCCUUACGGGGAAAGAUUUAUCGCCGAAAGAUUGGCCCGCGUCUGAUUAGCUAGUUGGUGAGGUAACGGCUCACCAAGGCGACGAUCAGUAGCNGGUCUGAGAGGAUGAUCAGCCACAUUGGGACUGAGACACGGCCCAAACUCCUACGGGAGGCAGCAGUGGGGAAUAUUGGAC